ensembl:lncRNA
GGUCUGGCCCCUGCUUUCUAACCAGCAUCAUCUCUCGCUCACCUUGCUUUUGGCCCUCCAGCCUCCUGACUUUCUUUUGGCUCUUCUCAAGCAGUAGUCAACAAAGUGAGAUUGGCCCUGAGAUGACACCUGUGUCAGUCUUCCCCUAUUUAGUAUGGGGGAUGCCACCACAGCAUGGCUUGAUGAAUGGUGCGUAGGUCCUCGCCCGGGAGCCAAACCUGGGAACCCUGGGCCACUGAAGUGGAACAUGUGAACUUAACUGCUACCCCACUGGGCUGGCCCUCCUACCUUUAUUUCUUAUUUAAACUACUGUUGUCUUAGAAUUUAGCCUGGAACUCUGAGGCUGAGCCUGUGUGCAUGAACCUCUGCAUUCUAGAGACGGCUGUAACCAGUGCAGGCAUUAUCACUGCUUAUCUCCAAACAAUAUUGAGAGUAGACUGGAGAGUCACUGAGGAAACCUCUUUUGGAACAAACUCAUAGGAGUAAGAAGUUGUGGGAUUUUCCUUUCCUUUCAGGUGGGGGAGGGGAAUGCUCCUUUCUCUUUCCUGCAACAAAAGCUGAGUGAAGGAAUCCCAAGAGAAUCACUCCAAAAAUUUGGGCCGCCAACAAGAAGGAGGGCAAGCAUCCUAUUUCUGGACUGGUUGCUUGUUGAGCUGCAUAUCCUCAUCCUUACCAUGCUGCUACUGAAGAUUACUUAAGAGAGUUCUCAAUCCCCAGCAAUUUGAGUUUUAAACCCACCAGGAAGUUGGUAGCCAUCUCCUGCCUGCAUAAUUUUGAAGGUAGAAGACUGGCUGGAAUCAUCUGGUUUUGGCAGGAUAAGGCAAGAAAAGUCAGCAAGGGCUAAGUAUUACCAGGAGCCCUUAGAGUCUUAAAAGCUACUCACCCAAGAGGGCUGGCCAAUGAGGUGAGGGGCUUCAGCAGAAAGAUGCUUGGGGUUUUCUGCCAGGGACAAGAGAUGGAAGAGGGUGUAAGUGGUCAAGCAAGGAAUACAUCAAAGAGUAAGGAAAGAGGACUGUGUGAGGACCCCUGCAGGGAGGGAGGACAUUCCAAAGAACAGACAAAUUGAGCUUGAAAUAGAAAGUCAACUUUUGGAUGGUGCCUAUGAUGGAGGACUCCAAGAGCCACAUAAAAACAAAAACAAAAGCAAAAACACAACACAUAGAGCACUUUGCCCUUCUUGCUCCAAGUCCUUCUUCCAUGUUCCCAACCCUAGACCAGUCGAAAGCAGGUGAGGGGUGGGGGAAGGAGUAGAAGAGUUAGCUGAAUGGAAAAUAGAACCAAGUU